UACGGCCAAAUCUCGUUGAAAUACCGGUUCCCAUACGAUCACCCAAAUUAAGCAAUGUUGAGCCUUUUCAUUACCGAGAUGGGUAACAGCUUGGGAAUGCAAGCUGUUGGA